rnacentral:rRNA from 1 species
UACAUGUGGGGCAAGCGUUGUUCGGAAUUACUGGGCAUAAAGGGUGCGUAGGCGGCAUGCCAAGUCAGGGGUGAAAGGUUUCGGCCCAACCGGGACAGUGCCUUUGAUACUGGCGUGCUUGAGUGCGUGAGGGGUGACUGGAACGAGUGGUGUAGCGGUGAAAUGCGCAGAUAUCACUCGGAAGGCCAACGGCGAAGGCAGGUCACUGGUACGCAACUGACGCUGAGGCACGAAAGCGUGGGGAGCAAACAGG